GAUGAACGCUAGCUACAGGCUUAACACAUGCAAGUCGAGGGGUAACGAGAGGAAAGCUUGCUUUCCUUGUCGACGACCGGCGCACGGGUGAGUAACGCGUAUCCAACCUGCCCCCAACUAGGGAAUAACCUUGCGAAAGUAAGACUAAUACCCCAUAAUUUCCUCAGAUGACAUCUGACGAGGAAUAAAGAUUUAUCGGUUGUGGAUGGGGAUGCGUCUGAUUAGCUUGUUGGCGGGGUAACGGCCCACCAAGGCAACGAUCAGUAGGGGUUCUUAGAGGAAGGUCCCCCACAUUGGAACUGAGACACGGUCCAAACUCCUACGGGAGGCAGCAGUGAGGAAUAUUGGUCAAUGGGCGGAAGCCUGAACCAGCCAAGUAGCGUGCAGGAUGACGGCCCUAUGGGUUGUAAACUGCUUUUAUACAGGAAUAAAGUUAGCCACGUGUGGUUAUUUGUAGGUACUGUAUGAAUAAGGACCGGCUAAUUCCGUGCCAGCCGCCGCCGUAA
rnacentral:rRNA from 1 species